GAUUUCUGGUUUGACGUACCUGUCCCGCUGCGGUAACGUAUGUGUGUGACGGAGUAGGUCUGCCAUCCUUCUAGAGAAGGCUCGCUAUCCUUUACUGGACCGGUGAGCUGAAUCUAGAUCUUUUACUUUGAAAAAAUUAGAGUGUUUCAAGCAGGCGUUUUGCUAUGAAUACAUUAGCAUGGAAUAAUGAGUUAGGACUUCGGUUCUAUUUUGUUGGUUUCUAGGACUGAAGUAAUGAUUGAUAGGGAUAGUUGGGGGUGCUAGUAUUCAGCGGCCAGAGGUGAAAUUCUUGGAUUCGCUGAAGACUAACUUAUGCGAAAGCAUU
rnacentral:rRNA from 1 species